UCCGGCUCUGGCCUGGCGCAGCUUGCCGCCGGCCUCACCAAGCGCCUCGCGGAAGAAAACCCCAGGACCAACCUCGUCUUCUCGCCGCUGUCCAUCUACACAGCUCUGUCGCUCCUGGCCGCCGGCGCCAGGGACACCACGCUGGACGAGAUGCUCCGCAUCCUUGGCGCGCGGUCGUGUGGCGAGCUCGAGAGCUUCGUGUCCCGCAUGGCGGCGGACGCGCUCCAGGACAGGUCCGCCUCAGGCGGUCCAAGUGUGGCGUUCGCAUGCGGCGUGUGGAGCGACAUUUCGCGGCCGCUGAAGCCGGCCUUCCGCGAGGCCGUCGUGGGCACGUACAAGGCCGAGGCGAGCACCGUUAACUUCCGCGGCGCACCGGAGGAAGCGCGUGGCCAGAUCAACGCGUGGGCGGCUCAGACAACUCGGGUCGUCCUCGGCAACGCCGUGUACUUUAAGGGCAAGUGGGAGGACCAGCCGUUCGACAGGAGGCACACCAUGCACGAACCCUUCUACCGGCUCGACCGCAGCCAGGUCGACGUGCCCUUCAUGCAGAGUACGAUGUCGCAGUUCGUCGCUGUGCACGACGGGUUCAAGGUACUCAAACUCCGGUACAAAUGUGCUGCUCCGUCGGUGUUCUCCGGCUCCAAUCGUACCGGGUACACGCAGUUCUCCAUGUGCAUAUUUCUCCCGGACGCCCAUGACGGCCUGUGGGGGCUGCUGGACACGAUCGCGUCCCGACCUGGGUUCCUGCACGACCACCUGCCGGAGCAGCAAAUCGCCCUCCGCGAGUUCCGGAUGCCAAAGUUCAAGCUGUCCUUCCAUAGCAGCAUCGUCGCCGUGCUCAAGAAGCUAGGGCUUGAGCUGCCGUUCUGUGAGCGUGGCAACCUAUCUGACAUGGUGGAGGACGAUGGCUCUGGCAUGCCGAUAGUGGUGGGGGAUGUCAUCCACAAGGCUGUUGUCGAGGUAAACGAGGAAGGGACUGAAGCCGCCGCUGUCAUGGAGGAGGCGACCGGAGCUGUUGUCUUCGCGGGGCACGUCCUCGACCCAUCCAAGGAGUAA
rnacentral:rRNA from 1 species